rnacentral:rRNA from 1 species
GACGUAGGGGGCCAGCGUUGUUCGGAAUUACUGGGUGUAAAGGGUUCGUAGGCGGUGCGGCAAGUUGGGAGUGAAAUCUCUGGGCUUAACCCAGAGGCUGCUUCCAAAAUUGCUGUGCUCGAGUGUGAGAGAGGCGCGUGGAAUUGCAGGUGUAGCGGUGAAAUGCGUAGAUAUCUGCAGGAACACCCGUGGCGAAAGCGGCGCGCUGGAUCACUACUGACGCUGAGGAACGAAAGCUAGGGGAGCAAACAGG